GACGAACGCUGGCGGCGUGCUUAACACAUGCAAGUCGAACGGAAAGGCCCUGCUUUUGUGGGGUGCUCGAGUGGCGAACGGGUGAGUAGCACGUGAGUAACCUGCCCUUGACUUUGGGAUAACUUCAGGAAACUGGGGCUAAUACCAGAUAGGAGCUCCUGCUGCAUGGUGGGGGUUGGAAAGUUUCGGCGGUUGGGGAUGGACUCGCGGCUUAUCAGCUUGUUGGUGGGGUAGUGGCUUACCAAGGCUUUGACGGGUAGCCGGCCUGAGAGGGUGACCGGCCACAUUGGGACUGAGAUACGGCCCAGACUCCUACGGGAGGCAGCAGUGGGGAAUAUUGCACAAUGGGCGGAAGCCUGAUGCAGCAACGCCGCGUGCGGGAUGACGGCCUUCGGGUUGUAAACCGCUUUCGCCUGUGACGAAGCGUGAGUGGCGGUAAUGGGUAAAGAAGCACCGGCUAACUACGUG
rnacentral:rRNA from 1 species